rnacentral:lncRNA from 1 species
CAGAGAUGGGCACAUGAUCCAAGCCAGGCCAGUUGCAUUCCUUCAUGGGACUUUCACCAAGGCCUUUGGGGAAAGUGCUCUUUCUCCAGGUUCACAAACUAUAAAGAUGAUGUGGUCUUGGAGCUGACAGUGGCCUUUUCACAGCCUUAUGGAGAGAGAUGCUGAGAGGGAAGUGGUACAUAAACAAAAAGAGCAAGGAACGAAGAUAAUGAUCAAGUUCGAGGAUGACAUAUAAACCUCUAGAUCCAGCUGUGCCUGAAGCCACCACAUCAACAUUGUAGAAUACUGUUUUGUGAACCAAUGUGUUCCUUUUUCUUUCUCCUUCCUUCCUUUCUUUUUCUUCUCUCCUUCCUUCCUUCCCCCUUCCCUCUCCCUCUUCUCCUUCCUUCCUUCCCCCUUUCCGUUCCCUUCCCUCUCCUUCCUUCCUUCCU